rnacentral:rRNA from 1 species
ACGCUGGCGGCGUGCCUAAUACAUGCAAGUAGAACGCUGAAGAGAGGAGCUUGCUCUUCUUGGAUGAGUUGCGAACGGGUGAGUAACGCGUAGGUAACCUGCCUUGUAGCGGGGGAUAACUAUUGGAAACGAUAGCUAAUACCGCAUAACAAUGGAUGACACAUGUCAUUUAUUUGAAAGGGGCAAUUGCUCCACUACAAGAUGGACCUGCGUUGUAUUAGCUAGUAGGUGAGGUAAUGGCUCACCUAGGCGACGAUACAUAGCCGACCUGAGAGGGUGAUCGGCCACACUGGGACUGAGACACGGCCCAGACUCCUACGGGAGGCAGCAGUAGGGAAUCUUCGGCAAUGGGGGCAACCCUGACCGAGCAACGCCGCGUGAGUGAAGAAGGUUUUCGGAUCGUAAAGCUCUGUUGUAAGUCAAGAACGGGUGUGAGAGUGGAAAGUUCACACUGUGACGGUAGCUUACCAGAAAGGGACGGCUAACUACGUGCCAGCAGCCGCGGUAAUACGUAGGUCCCGAGCGUUGUCCGGAUUUAUUGGGCGUAAAGCGAGCGCAGGCGGUUUGAUAAGUCUGAAGUUAAAGGCUGUGGCUCAACCAUAGUUCGCUUUGGAAACUGUCAAACUUGAGUGCAGAAGGGGAGAGUGGAAUUCCAUGUGUAGCGGUGAAAUGCGUAGAUAUAUGGAGGAACACCGGUGGCGAAAGCGGCUCUCUGGUCUGUAACUGACGCUGAGGCUCGAAAGCGUGGGGAGCGAACAGGAUUAGAUACCCUGGUAGUCCACGCCGUAAACGAUGAGUGCUAGGUGUUGGAUCCUUUCCGGGAUUCAGUGCCGAAGCUAACGCAUUAAGCACUCCGCCUGGGGAGUACGACCGCAAGGUUGAAACUCAAAGGAAUUGACGGGGGCCCGCAC